GACGAACGCUGGCGGCGUGCUUAACACAUGCAAGUCGAGGGCGGUAGCAAUACCGACCGGCGAACGGGUGCGUAACACGUGAGCGACCUACCGAGGUGUGGGGGAUAGUCGGCCGAACGGCCGGGUAAUACCGCAUACGUUCUCUAAUCGGCAUCGAUUGGAGAGGAAACCUUGCGGGCACUUCGAGGAGCUCGCGGCCUAUCAGCUAGUUGGCGAGGUAAUGGCUCACCAAGGCGACGACGGGUAGCUGGUCUGAGAGGAUGGACAGCCACAUUGGGACUGAGAAACGGCCCAGACUCCUACGGGAGGCAGCAGUGGGGAAUCUUGCGCAAUGGCCGAAAGGCUGACGCAGCGACGCCGCGUGUGGGAUGAAGCCCUUCGGGGUGUAAACCACUGUUGCCCGGGACGAAUAGCGGAUUUUGAUCCGCCUGACGGUACCGGGUGAGGAAGCACCGGCUAACUCCGUGCCAGCCGCCGCGGUAAGAC
rnacentral:rRNA from 1 species